AUCCCUGUAGUGCGAUGGAUAGCACGUUGGACUUCGAAUUCAAAGGUCGUACGUUCGUAUCCUAACUGGGAUG